AUGCCUGUUCGAGCGUCAGAACAUCCUCUCAAGCCUGGCUUGGUCUUGGGGCGCGCGGCUCGGCGUCCCCUAAACACAGUGGCGGUACCGUUGUGCUCUCCGCGUAGUCACGUAUCUCGCGACAGAGUGGCGGUGGGACCUGCCAGAACACACCUUCUUUGGAUGACCUCGGAUCAGGUAGGGAUACCCGCUGAACUUAA
rnacentral:misc_RNA from 1 species